rnacentral:lncRNA from 1 species
AAAAUCCAGGUUUGUCAUCCUUUUAUUUCUCUCUCUAAAAGCUUUUACCUUCAAAUCUGUCAAUGAUCUGUACACCAAAGCCAUAACUCCAGUCCUAUAUUGAUCGCCCAUGAAGAAAGAUAGCCUUCUAGAUUCAUGACUGCGUUCGCGCUUGUUUUCAUUCUUCUCAAUCUUGAAUUGCUGCUUUGUAAGUAUGUGAAUUUCGCAGUUUUCUGCUGCUCUAUUGCUUCGAUUGUCUGGAAUUCCUAGAUUUAGUGCCGAUCAUGAUGGGAGAGAACCCCAACUCUGCUUGAAAGUUGGUGGUUUCCAGCGAAGAAAGCUCACAUUUGGCCAAAUCUGAUCAUUUUGACGAUUAUGAUAUUAUGGAAGAUAUAUAUAGCCGGUGGGAGGUGUAUGUGGCCAGAGGAUGGGAAAAAAGACCAAAACACUAAGGACACCAGCAACACAACAGCUUAUGCAUACAACUCUCUUCCCAAUUUUCAUCAUCUUCUUACUUGCUUCAAGGUAGACUUUGAGUUCCUGUGCCAGCUCCGAUAGUACACACUGCUUCGGCUGUUGUACCAUGGGAAACAAAACGAGUGCUCCUGGGAGACUCGGAAUUUGUUUUAAGAGAAGCAUGUUGAACACGUGACUCAGUCAUUCUGCUUCUUCUUCAUUUCUUGUAUUUGUUUAUUUCAGUUGUAAAAGUCCUUUAAUUUUUCCAGCUUUCUUUUUUUCUUUGUAUUGUAAUCAUUGAAUAAAAUUUGUUUUAUUUUAUUUAAUUACGCGAACGGUUCUUACACAGUUCUGGUUGGUGUAUGCGAUUUGUGACAGUGGUAAGUUUUAAUUUGAUUUUCUUGGAUUUUGGGUUGUAAUUUUUGGUUUGUAGGGUUAUGACAGUGGUUUCGAUUAUAGAUGUUUUAGUGACUGCUGUUAAGAUCUCACGUGAUGGUGUCAUGAAGGUGGGUGUGCAUUGGAGGUGGUUGUUAACGGUGGUUGUCCCUCCGUUCAACUGUUGGCGAUCAAUCUCUCACCAGUAAACUUCACAUACAAAACUCCAUUGAUUCAAGAGAGUGGUGUUGUGAACAUGUAUGUGGAGUUUGAGGAGGCGAUUCUGAACCCCGACGUUUCGUGUGAUGCUGUGGAGGUCUUAGUCAGCUUCUUCUAUUCCAACCGAUGAGUCUCGAACAUUUUAAUCUCAGUUAGAACCACUUGAUGAUCUGAGUCUGAUUCUCCAAGUAGUGAUAACUAUGUUGCUCUUUUCUGUUGUAGCUCUUGCAAUUAGUCAUUAUGUACAAAAGUGUAUAUUAAUUGUAUGUGUUUUUAUUAUCUUUUAUAUAUGUCAAACCAAUAUGAACCAUGAACCAUUGAAAUCUCAA